CAACAGCGAAAGGAGGUGAUCCAGUGUCUCAUUGUCAUACCCUACGGUCCCCGGUUGCCGUGACCUGGAUCUUGGCCUCUGCCGAGAUUGGUGCGUAACGCACGAAAUGGCCGGCUCUAACGGGCCGUGGAACCGACAAUGGAAAGGCCGCCCCUCAAGGGCGGCCUU
rfam:Microvirga sp. V5/3M, complete genome.